CAUGGAAAUAGUUGGACUCUGAGCAAAAGAAUGGACUCCCGGUUGCUGUUCUGUGUUGACUUAACUGAGGGAGGCCAGACUCCAUGGAAGCACCUUGGACAGAUGAAAAGGAGCAUCCAUGAUGAAGACCGAUGUGGGUCCAAAUACCACCAUGAGUGACUCCAGAGAAGAAGUGGAAUUCCACAGUGAAUUGUAAAGUGAGGCCAACGCAUAGUUGUCUAUUGGGCGUUUAUGUUUACCCAGUGGUAGUUUCCACAUCUGAAAGAAGCGGGCCUUCUUUUGAGGACGGCAGAAGGAUUUAGCCCAUCACAACGCACGAACACAGGCCCAAAAUGGGUUAGAUUUGUAGCAUGGUCAUCCCAACUCUAGGGCACAAAGAGGUGCCUCCUCGGACACAUUUUGAAUCUUGCAAAAGGCAAUAAGUGCCUUUUAGCUUAUUAUGAUUACAGUAGAGUCUCACUUAUCCAACACUUACUUAUCCAACGUUCUGGAUUAUCCAACGCAUUUUUGUAGUCAAUGUCUUCAAUACAUCAUGAAAUUUUGGUGCUAAAUUCAUAAAUACAGUAAUUACUACAUAGCAUUACUGUGUAUUGAACUACUUUUUCUGUCAAAUUUGUUAUAUAACAUGAUGUUUUAGUGCUUAAUUUGUAAAAUCACAAUCUAAUUUAAUGUUUAAUAGGCUUUUCCUUAAUCUCUCCUUAUUAUCCAACAUAUUCGCUCAUCCAACGUUCUGCCGGCCCGUUUAUGUUGGAUAAGCGAGGCUCUACUGUAUAUUGUUGCAACUACAAAUGAGAGGAGGUGCCCCCGGUGGCACGGCGGAUUAAACUGCUGAGCUUCUGAACUUGCUGACCGAAAGGUCGGCAGUUUGAAUCCAGGGAGUGGGGUGAGCUCCCACUGUCAGCCUCAGCUUCUGCCAACCUAGCAGUACGAAAACAUGCAAAUGUGAGUAGAUCAAUGCAGUCAUACUGGCCACAUGAUCUUGGAGGUGUCUAGGGACAACGCCAGCUCUUUGACUUAAAAAUGGAGAUGAGCACCAACCCCCAGAGUCAGACACGACUAGACUCAAUGUCAAGGGGGAACCUUUACCUUUUAAUGAUCUAUAAAAAUACUAUAUCAAUGGAUUCUUCUUCCACGUUUUUAACAUUAUGCUAUAGAGAAGGAGCCCCCGAUGGUGCAGCAGGUUAAACCACUGAGCUGCAGAACUUUUCUGACCAAAAGAUUGGUGGUUUGAAUUUGGGGAGUGGGGUGAGCUCCCACUGUUAGCCCCAGCUCCUACCAACCUAGCAGUUCGAAAACAUGCAAAUGUAAGUAGAUCAAUAGGUACCGCUUCUGCGGGAAGGUAACAGCACUCCAUGCAUUCAUGCUGGCCACAUGACCUUGGAAGUGUCUACAGACAAAGUUGGCUCUUUGGCUUAGAAAUGGAGAUGAGACCACCCCCCCCAGAGUCGGAAACAACUAGACUUAAUGUUAGGGGAAAACCUUUACCUUAACCUUACAAAUAAGAGGAGAUGCUUGUACAAUUUUCUACCUUAUGGUACAUCUACACUGUUGACACCAUUCUAACUGUUAUGGCUCCAAUACAGUUGGAGUUUUACAAGGGCUUUGACCUUCUCUGCCAAAUACUGCUAUUACCUCGCCCAAAUGCAACCCCCAUGUUUAUGUUGAGCAAUGGCAAUUAAAGUGGUGUCAAAGUGCAUUACUUCUACAGUGUAGGUGCAGCCUCAGGCACUGAAGUAGAUUUGCUAGUCUAGGGUACCAUGUGCAUUAACUUUGGAACCAAGGUGUCAUUUGCUUCUGUUCAUCAGGCACAGAAUGUCUUGUUUGCCAUUUGCCCCUGUUUAGGUAAUUCACAGCAUUCGUAUUAAAUUCCAGAAAUACACAUAUAGAGUCAGGUUUUUUUAGUUCAGUUUUAUUAUUAAAGCAAAAAGCCACAACCCCACCCCCCCAAAUACAAUAUAAUAAAAUAUUAGAAUAUAAUGCAACAACACUUUUUUUCAUGUCAGGAGUGACUUGAGAAACUGCAAGUCACUUGUGGUGUGACAGAAUUGGCCAUCUGCAAGGACGUUGCCCAGAGGAUGCCUGGAUGUUUGGCGUUGUUACCAUCCUUGUGGGAGUUGUUGUUACCAUCUCAUGUCCCCGCAUGGGGAGCUGGAGCUGACAGAAGGAGCUCAUCCACACUCUGUCCUGAUUCGAACCGGCAACCUUAAGAUCAGCAACCCAACUUUCAAGUCAGCAGUCCUGCCAGCACAACACAUGAAAAAUGUUCAUAAUGAAUUAGAAUAAUCACAUCCUUACAAAGUAUAUUAAAACAAAAAUACAAUAUCACAACAUCACAAAAAUGACAAAUUUACAAUCUAUUAAUUAAGAGAGAAAAGUAACCUAGAAUGAAAUUGUUCUUGUUGUGUGCCAUCAAGCCAUUUCCCAAGUAAGGUGUUCUAUAGUGAUCAUGGGGCUUUCUGAGGCUGAGAAUAUGUGACUUGGCCAAGGUCACCCAAUGGGUUUUCAUGAUUGAGCGGGGAUUCAAACCCUGGUCUCCAGAAUCAUUGUCCAACCCUGAAUCGACUACACCAUGCUGGCUAUACUUGGUCUAAUUGUCUGUUUUGCUUGCCACAGAAUUAUUCAGCUUUGACUUUAACUUGUUUUGACAACCAAAGCUCCAAGAAUGUGAUAAAUAUAUCUUGAUCAGAUAAUAGCAUAAUCAGUUUCUCCUGACUUGUUUUCCCUAAAAGUUGUUCUAUGAUGACUGCAAAUAAGAAGUAAAGGAAUAAGCAUUGGAUUAUUAAGAAGUGUGAGACCUGUGAUUUAAGGUACAAAUAACAUUUAGUAUAAUGCCAAGUUUUUAAUUUUGUGUUUUCAAAUACAUUACAACUGUACCCUCGGUUUGCUUCUGACAUGAUAAAUAAAAAAUAAGGUUACUGCCAUAACUAAAAAUCUACUCUAGAACUGCACUCAGACAAACUGGUCAUGAAGGAAAAUGUGUAUUCAAGGUGAUUAAUCUGUUUUCCUUUCCAUGAUGGGAUUUGCUCAAAAAUACACUUUUUAGUAAUCAGACCUGCAAAUUAAAUUUAUAUUUAUCUUCCAAUGACCAAUUACAACAUCCGGCACACUCCAUGCAAGAUAGACUAUGACAAGCAGAGAUCUGUAUCUUUUGAGAUCGUUCCUUCUUCUAAAAACAUGGUAUCAUCUAAUUUGAGAGAGAACUUCACUGUCGACCUUCAUCUACAAAGUUGAAGUUUAUGGAGACAAGAAGAGCCUUUUAGGUGUGGGUUUUAAAUUAUGCAAAGGUUUCCUUUUUUGCUGUUUCUAAAUGGACCUUUCAGGACAUUUUAUAUCUUCCACAUCUUAGUUGAUUUCUCAAGACGUUUUUAAAACUCUGGAAUCCUAUACAUGCUAUGCGCAAAAGUAAAUCCCAUCAAGUUCAAUAGGACAUAAUUCCAGUUAAAUAUAUAUAUAGGAGUCUGUCACUGAUAGCAUUUUUAUAAUGCUUUAUAAUGAUGCCUUUAUUGCUUUUGCUUUAUUGUUGGGUUUGCUUUUGUGUGUGUGAUUUAUAUUCUUUCAUCUGUAAGCUGCCUUGAGUUUGAUUUUAUCAUUGAAAAGGGGGAUAUAAAUGCCAAAAAAUAAAUGUUAAGCUUAAUAUAGUAUAACAGAGGUGAGGAACUUCCUGUCCUAUAGAUAUUUGGACUUCAGUUUUAACAGUACCAUAGCAUUUGCCAUGCUGUCUACAGCUAAUGAUGAGUCCCUUCGGGGAGAGACGGCAGAUUAUAAAUAAAGUGUUAUUAUUAUUAUAGACCAAAAGAUCUGGAGGGCCAAAUAUUCCCCAUUCCUAGGGAGACUGAAUUUCAGCCCAAGGGAGAUUCAAUCAAGAAAGCCAUGACUUUCAGUUUAUAAGGUGUCAGCAGAGCAGUUAAUAACCAGGGUUCUUGGAGGUCUCUCAUUCACAGGGUUACCAUAGUUGAAAUCAACUUUAACUCAGAUAAAGGAAGACGCUACAUAACAGAGCUAUCUGUUCAGAUGUUCCACCUGAACAUCAGGAAGAACUUUCUCACUGUGAGAGCUGUUCAGCAGUGGAACUCUCUGCCCCGGACUGUGGUGGAGGCUCCUUCUUUGGAGGCUUUUAAGCAGAGGCUGGAUGGCCAUCUGUCGGGGGUGCUUUGAAUGAGAUUUUCCUGCUUCUUGCAGGGGGUUGGACUGGAUGGCCCGUGAGGUCUCUUCCAACUCUACGAUUCUAUGAUUCUAUGAAUCUAUCUUAUGGGGAGUUCUCAUUUGUUGGAGGUAUUCAAGCAGAGGUUGGAUGCCUGUCUCCUAGGGAUACUCAUUUUACAUGGUUACACUCAUCUUCCUCCACUACUACCAGGCCCAACAUUCCACAGUUGCAGGAUCUCUUUCCUCAGUGCAAGAAACUGUGGGUAUAAUCAUAGAGAUUGUCUUGAUCACUGACUCAUAGUUGGAUGUACUCUACUUGUGACAGUUCUGGAACCAUUGGAUGCUAGUCCAUGGUGAGCAUCCAGGAAAUAAUGGUUGCCAUAGCCAAAGAGUAUGAACAUGGUGGCAAACCCUAGCUCAUCAUAAAAUAGUAAUUGGAAGUUCCUCACAUUAAAUAGCAUGAGAAUUAUUGACCUACUGUCAUGCUCACCCAUGUCAUGCAACUAUCAGCUCCACGGUCCAGGCAUAGAGCACAUGGCCAAUGGCCAAAAGAGAGGUGGGUUCUGGUAUGAAGGUGUCAGAAGGUGGGUUCUGGUAUGCGGGAAAGGGCAGGCACCAGGCAGCAGAGGUUUUGGGUUAUUAAUAACAUUGUAGGUAAGCCCCUAUACAGAUGGGCAGUAGUGCUAGACUCUUGUAUUCAGAACAAUAAAGAUGUAUGGUAUCUUCA